GCAGACUCACGGGAACACGCAGGUGACUGGCUAACCCUGAGUGGAAGCUGUAAGCCACGGGAACGUGCAGACUCACGGGAACACGCAGGUGACUGGCUAACCCUGAGUGGAAGCUGUAAGCCACGGGAACGCGCAGACUCGAGAGUCUGUGCUAAUAUUGUCAUUACCGGAGUGGCGUGGUGAUCGUGCGUGGCGUGGAUUCCGCCGAGCCCUCGAGUGCUGUCUCGGGCCGUCAGUGGAGGUGCCUGCUGUGUCUGGGAAGGUGAGGUUAGAGGUGUGGGCCACGGGAAGCCUGCACCCGUCACUCCAGGCCGAGCCCUUUGUGCCGCAUGCCUCACAGCAAGUCCUCCGUUCAUGGUGUCUCUCUACUUGGUUGGCAUCUGGGGAGAUGGGAAGCCCAGGGGAGGGCAGGGCAGGGCAGGAGAGGGGACAUCACUACUCAAGUCACCGGAAGGACCCGGAGCCCCAGCCCGGGUGGAGGAGGCUGCCGGGACCAGCCACAGGUCGUGUGAUGAGAUUCGUCUGCACGAGUGUGGUGGGAAGCAUCCUGACGCCACUCAGGUGACUUAGACCACAGAGACGCUGUAGCGAGCCCCCGCCCUGGUCACCCAUGCACGCCUGUGAUCAGAUUGCAUUCAUUUCCAAGGUAAAUUUUUGUGCAUCUCUGUACAGUUUUACAAGCAAAAGACUUGACAUUUACCAAGAAAGGAAACGGAGUGAUUAUUUAAAGCCUCACCUGACUGCUGGCUUCCGUUACAGGUGACAGGGGACAGCUGCUUCAGGGCUUCGUUUUUGGAAUUUUUAUAAUGCCGAUCAGCAGGAUUUUUAAUCUGUGUUUUCCACUGACAGUCAGUUCUCCAUCUACGGUUGUUGGCACCCACGCGAUGACCCCAGAACUGUUUAUACUUUUUGUGGCCACUUAAUGUGUUGCUGCUGUUGUUUCUUCUUCAAGGAAAUGAAGUUCCCUAAUUUUAAGCUGGGGAAAGGAAAUGUUUUCCCCAGGAGUCUGAUGACGCGAUUAGACUGAUGGAGUUUGAAAGCUGUGUUAGAAGUGCGCAGUGACGUGGCGCCCCGGGUGGGGGGCUGGGGAGACUCCCGAGGUGAGCCGAUGAGAACGGCGCGGUGGCAGGCUGGCCGUCCUGCUCCCUAUCAGUACAUAUCUGAUGCAGCUAUAAAGUGAUGGGGAUGUGUUUUUAAACAAACACGCCGACGCUCCCGGGACAUACUAGUUAAGGCUGAUGUCUCAUUAACAGCGGUCGUCUAGGGCAGCCACGUCAACAAAUCCUGAGCGUGCGUUUGGGUGCCGGGUGCUGUCUCCGCCGGAGGCUUCUCCGUGUCGGGAGCAUCUGUCCUGUGUUUGCGGUGCUGGCGCUGUGACCUCACCGAACUCUCAGUAGCCUCGCCGGGCUUCCUCUCUGAUGGGAGGGACUUCCAUUUUCCUGCCGGAGUCGUCCCCUUCUUGCUCCUCUCGUCAUCCCCUGCGCCUCCGAGGAGGAGAGGACGUCAGCUUGAGCCUGCUGCCCCCGGCGGGCCGGACUCUGGGCUGUGGGCGUGGUCCCGCCUGUGUUUGUCCAGCUGUGCCAGGGAGCAGAACCUACUUGGCUGCAAAUCGCAAGCCAGACUCUCCCAUCUGGCUUUUAUUAGUAACAGAGCCGGUGUUUUUGAUCUCCACCUAUCUAUCUGACUCCUGUUUUGAUCUCCACGCUGAUUCUAGACUUAGGAGCGGAAGAGAGACAGGCUCACUGAGUGUGCGCGUGCCUGGGGUCACCCACUGGGCUGAACCUCCCUGGUCAGUGUGUCCAUUUGGGUCUGUUUCUGCCAAGAGGAAACAGCAAAGUGAUCAUCAUUUUAGGAAGAAAUAUCGCUGCACCAGAAGGACACCAUCACUUUCUGUUUUCUGGUAGGAGCUCGCCGGGCUCCCUGGCUUAUGUGAGGUGUCAGAGUUGGACAGACCGAGGAGAGGCUGCGUUUCUAACCUCCCACACUUCACGUCAGGGAACUCGCCUCCCAGAAGAUGCUUCGGUGGCUCAGACAUUUAGGACGGACCCCCUGGGACCCCCUUGACACCACGGUCUAUGGGGCAGCAUGAAGUACAGACCCUCCUCCUGCGGGGAUUAAUCCACCUUCCUUGAAAACACUGCAGCCAGGAACAAAAAGAGAAGAUUCUAGGGCUCCUCCUCGCCACGUGUAGCCAUAGUGACUGCUUCCUGGGAGGCUGGGUCACAGUUUUCAAACCGCCUUUCACGUAAUCAUCUGGCGAGUUACCUGUGGCAGCCUUACGGUAAGGAGAAAGGCGGGGCGGGGGCUCCGGCUGCUGAGAAAACAGGCGGCCCGCCGCCGUGACAGCACCUCUGCCUUCCGGGUGUGGGGUCCGGGGAGGGCCGGGUGCUCAGGCCCACACUCUCAAGAGAUGGGAGUAUUCCUUACGGGGUGGGGACGUUCCCAGUCUUCCUGUGCUGCGACGUCAGCAGUAGACGUGGGAACUUGGCCAGCAGAGCGGUGACUGGUACAGGAGAGCCCUACCACGUGGGACGUGGUGCAGAGCUCGCAGGGAGGCAGGCUCACACUCUCGCACCGUCGAACAGUACCUUAAAAGUACAUCAGCAGCAUGACAAAAUAAGUGUUUAUUUCUGUGAAACACGAACUUUUUAAAAAAAAUACACUUUCUACAGUAAAUGUUAUUUUAGAGGCCGGCUUGGUAAUAGUUAUUUUAUGAGUCCUUAGGAAUAUGAUUUAACAGUGCAGGAGUGACGGUUUAAUGCCUUCUUACGUACUUUCCUGCAAUUACCAGGACGUUUUCAUUUUGAAUUGUAGAUAUUUUUUUUUUAACUUAAUUUGUGGUUUGCAUCUUGCUUUAGAAUUUUUGUAAUCUUGAAUAUUUACAGAAUGCGUAAAUAUUUGCUGAGGAGACCACAGCAUCUGUAGCAUUUUAAGUGGGAAUUUGUUUCCUAAUUCUUGGUAAAUUUAGGAAAAGAGCCACCAGGUUGCCUGAGCGCUCUUUUAUCUAGUACAAAUUAAAACUCUUCUGACAGUAAAUUGCCCUUUCCUAGUCUUUCACACGGAGAAGGCAGUGGCACCCCACUCCAGUGUUCUUGCCUGGAGAAUCCCAGGGACAGGGGAGCCUGGUGGGCUGCCGUCUAUGGGGUCGCACAGAGUCGGACACGACUGAAGUGACUUAGCAGCAUCAGUCUUUCACAAAUUUUAAAAUAAUAACAUUUCUAAAAAUAAAGUAUUGGAAAUAAGGAGAAUGUUGUAAAUGUAGGCGUUUUUGAAGGAGAUUAAAAGACAGAUUUUUAUUUUGUUGACAUACAGAGUUGAUUUACAAUGUGUUAAUUUCUGGUGCUCAGCAAAUGAUUCUGUGUGUGUGUGUGUGUGUGUGUGUGUGUGUAUUCCUUUCCCUAUUCGUUUCCACUGUGGUUUAUCAGAGGAUGCUGAAUGGCCCUCCCUGUGCUACACAGCAGAGCCUCGGUGCUCACCCGUCCUGUGUAUGACAGUCUGCGUCUGCUCAUCCCAGCCUCCCGCCCCAUCCCUCCCCGCCUCACCCCACCCCCGCCGUGGCAACUGCAUGUCUGUUCUCUGUUCCUGUGAGUCCGUCUGUUCCACAGAUAAGUUCAUGUGUGUCGUAUUUUACAUUCCUCAUAUAAGGGAUAUCAUAGGUAUUAACAUUGUCUUUCUCCUUCUGACUGACUUCCCUUGGUGUGACAGUCUCUAGGUCCAUCUCCAUACCUGUAAAUGGCAUGUCAUUCUUUCUCGUGGCUGAGGAAUAUUCCACUGUAUGUACGUAACACAUCUUUAAAGACUGAAAUCUUGAACCUUCUAAAACAACUUCGUCCAAUGUUGAAAGUUAGUGAUAUAAUAAAUAUACCUAAAUCAUUUUCUUUUGUGUUGUUUUUACAAUUACUACUCAGGCAGCCAUUUCCUUGAAUGUCACCUUUUUUCCCCCAAAUGGUUUUGACAUUGAUCCUGUCAUCUGACUAUAUAAAUGACAUGAAGAGGACGUCAUUUAGUGCUCUGUUGUAGAUAACAAGAUGAAUCCCUAGCAGUUAGAGUGCCUAAAGUUGUCUGGGGGACUGAGGAAGAGUUAUCCUCUGCGAAGAGACAUUCUAAUUUCAGACUAGAUUGAGCCGAGACUGCCAGCAACUAAUCUAAUAACUCAGCGAUGUUCUGGAGAUUCUAGUCAGUUAAAAGACAAAAGAAAUUAGGUGUAUCUACUGAAAAGGAAGGAACAAAAUUAACAUUAUAAAUAGUAGAUCUAAAAGAUCAUCCAAAAAGUUACUAGAAUUAAAAAUAGUUACAGGAGUCACUGGACACAACGUAAGUGUCCGUAGGUGAACUGUGUGUGCGCCUGUGUGCUUUCCUGUAAUAGAAAAAUAUCCAUUUCUAACGCCAGCGAAAAGGAUGACAUACCCAGGAAUAAGCAAGAUGUGCUCACAUACGGUCUAUACCAUUACUGAAGAACGUAAAAAUCCUGGAAAAGCUGCUGCUUUUGGUGGGGAGGGGAGGGUAGGAAUUGUUGCUGUUGUAAAAAUGCCAAUUUAGGAAUUGAACACAACCAGUCAAAUCCCUAUUUAUUUUUCUUGGAACUUGACAGAGCCAUGCUGAGGUUUGUGUGAUGAGUAAAUGUGUGAUGAUAAGUAACACAAUUCUGAGAACAUGCAUUGUUUGGGAUAGUUAUCAUGAGAAGCACUGUGUUCCCACCAGCAGCCUUGAGGGUUCCAGCUUCUCCACACCCUCACCGGCUCUUGCUGUUGCCUUUUUGUCUCUUUCAUAGCCACCCUGGUUUGAAUGUGCAAGUCCUGAUGGCCUGAAGAUCUUUUCAUGUGUUUAUUAGUUGCUAUUGUUCUGUUUGGUGAAGCUCUUUCUUUUGACUUCUUGACUUUCACUUCUUCCUGUUUAUAAUCAAACCUAUGUGAGGAUUCAUCUUAGUUUUUAUAGUGAUCCUAUGAGGGCGAAUGACCGUUUUUGCCACGCAGAUGUCAGAGAAUUGGAAAUACCCAGUGAUUUUUAAAACGUUUUCAAGAGCAUGUUGGGAAUGUGGAAUUGGAAUGGCAGCGCCUCGGAAGUCCGGUUCCUCUCGCUGUCGUCAGCAGCUCCUGUGCUGGUUUAUCCGCCUGUCAUGCUUCCUCCCCUGUGUCCUACACGUGACUCCAGCUGAAGGUUUCUUAGCCGGUUUUCCAUAAGAUGUUUUUCAUCAUCCAGCUUUCCUUAAUCUCCCCUCCGGAUCAAAUGA